ensembl:lncRNA
GUUCCUCUCACCAUGGUAGGUCCCUAGGAUACUUACGGAACCUGAGCAUGUGUCCCCCAAAACAAUGUUUACACUGUGGACAGUGUGAGGCUAUAAAACAACCCUAAGAGCAUGUUCUGACGUGAGAACGUGGAGUUCACGAAGAGACUGGCCCUAGUGAGUAAUGACUGCUCACCCUCACCUGAGGUCUGCCUAUCACCCAGAGGGCAAGAGGCAAGAAGACAGAGUGCACUGUGGCCUCAGACAGCAAGCGUGGAAUUCCCUUUAACGACAGGAUUCUCUCCUCCCUCUGUCACUACUGUUGCUGAACUUCCCAUUUAGAUUUCAGAUUAUUACGAAAUGCCGCAACAGGAAGCAGCCUCCAGGGCAGGGUUUGAUGGAAUUCUUAUGACAGGAUGCUGCAAUUCCUCCUCCAAGAGCCCCUUCUGCCCAGCUGCCCUGAGACAUUAAAGAAACCAGUUUCCUUGGCUGUAAUUGUUGGGUUGUGUCUCUUGUGUAUCAUGAGGGGAAGGCUGUCCUCCCCAGAGAUCAAGGGUAAACGCUGUGCAAAAUCCAGUCCAGACCAGAAAAAAAAGAAAAAAGGGCAUCACAGUUAGGACUUGUUUCUUGGCUCAUUCCAGGAAAGAACUAAUGUUGCUGAUGAGUUCUGUGGACCUGGACAUGUGUCCUGCUUGAGAGUCAGUGACGGGCCACCGUGCAGUGCUGAUGAGACAAAAUCAUCCCCUGAACACUUAGUGGGCCGCUGAGAGUAUUGUCACAACACCCACCAAGUUUCCAGGAUGCACCCUUGAGACACCCACCUGGCCAGAAGGCAAGGCUUAGGCAAAGAAAUUAAACCAAAGUCGAGCCAACACAGCUUAACGUCUGGUAGAAAUAUAUCCCUCAGGGCUCUCUGGUGACCCAGUUCCCACAAGCCUGUGAUGCCCGUCUUGACCACAUCCCACUGGAGACAGGUGGAGAAUGGGAGGAUUAGGGUAGAUAAAUCUACUGGGUUUGGAAAUCAUCUCAUGGUGUUUAAAUCCCCAAACUAUUAAAUUCCCGUUGAAUUAAAGUGUCUGUGUUUGGAGAAACAAAACCAAUUACGUCGUCACUCUCAGUUAUGAAAUUUUAGCUUUAUAUUUAUGAAAUGUCUUUUCGUUGAAAUAUUUUCUUUGGCAAUUGAUAAGCCUUUAUGAGAAGGGAAACUAUUCUUGCCUGUUAAUUUUUACCCCAUGUUCUUUCUUAAAGACUCUGGACAGGCCUUGGCUUAGUAAUUCUACCCAAAAAUAUUAAGUGUUCAGGUUUGUGAGAAUAAAGUCUUGUUAAUUAUUAACUCCUCUAAAACAUUCUUAUCCCCCAGAACUAUUCACUCCUUAACCCACACAUAUGCACCAGAAGCAAAAGCAAGCUCAAAUAUUACACGUCAUCAAAUCAGCUCACUUCAACUUGGCUUCUAUAGUCAGAUACCGUGGUCUUCUGUAGUAACUGAAAGAGGCUAUCUUGCUAAUUCUGAGAGUCUUUGUUAACAAAGAUGCUGGCUGGGCGUGGUGGCUCAUGCCUGUAAUCCCAGCACUUCGGGAGGCCGAGAUGAGUAGAUGGCUUGAGGUUAGGAAUUCGAGACCAGCCUGGCCAACAUGGUGAAACCCCAUCUCUAUGAAAUAAAAUACUAAAAUUAACUGAACGUGGUGUUGCGUGCCUGUAAUCCCAGCUACUUGGGAGGCUGAGGCAGGAGAAUCACUUGAGCCCAGGAGGUGGAGUUUGCAGUGAGCUAAGAUCACAUCACUAUACUCCAGCUUGGGUGACAGAGCAAGACUUCAUCUCAAAAAAAAAAAAAAAAAAAAA